AGUAUCUAACUAUUGAAUAUGGGUCAAGAAAAUUCUGCUAACAAACAUUCUCUCUUGUCAGCCAGAGGAAAAGAGUCAAGGAGACUGAAAGUGGAGGAGGUAAAGCUCUACCCAUUUAUCACUGGAUGUCCUUAUCAACCGAUACUGCACAGGCCACAUUCACAGUAUGUGUGAUAUCUAUUAGUUAAGAAGGUGAAUCUCACUGAGAUUCAAAAUAAAUAGAGGAUGUAGAAAUCAGAUGAUUUAUUUGUUACUGACAUUCCAACGAAUGUGGGGGUAUAUUAUCAGGUUUAAAUUAAUGUGUAAUUGAUUUUGUAUGAGACUGUGACCCACCUAAUUUUUCCAUUACAGGAAUAAAUAGCUAAUUAGAAUCUUAGAUAGGCUGUUUGCCAAUGUGCUUCCCUCAUGUGACUGGGAAAUAACUUCAAGGCUACCUCUUUUACCUACCCCUGUGCUGGGCCUCUCCAGACAUGGCAUAAGCUUUGGCCAGUAACGCACUCAUUUCUGCAGUUUUGGGGCUGACUUCAGUGAACAAAGAAACACAGACAGAAUGAGCCUGGAAUAAAGAAAAUCAUGACAAGGCCAGGCACAGUGGCUCACACCUCUAAUCCCAGCACUCUGGAAGGCCGAGGUGCAUGGAUCACUUGCGGUCAGGAGUUCGAGACCAGCCUGGCCAACAUGGUGGAACCCUGUAUCUCCUAAAAAAUACCACAGUGAGACUGUAAUCCCAGCUACUCAGGAGGCUGAGGCAUGAGAAUGGCUUGAACCUAGGAGGCGAAGGGUGCAGUGAGCUGAGAUCACACCACUGCGCUCCAGCCUGGGUGACAGAGCAAGACUCUGUGCUGGGAGCCGAAGGCCCAUGGGAUGUGACCAACUCAGCAUUCCACUGGAGACGAUAUGAUCAAACAGCAAACUGUUUAUCAUGAAUGCAGGAUGUGAGCAAACUCACGAGUGCUCCUGCCGACAGAGGGUUUGCUGGAGGCAAUCACUCCCUAGCGCUGAGGUUAUCUACUGUGACAUCUAGAGCCUGUUGUUUGAGGAAUGAAGUCUUGCAAGCCUACUCUGGACUAAGCAGCUGACCCCUUCUUCCACCCCCCUUCUCACCAUCUCUUUUGCCUAAUAAAUACAGAGGGCUGUGUACAGCUCAGGGCCUUCGUCCACUAGAGGCAAGGUGCCCCCUGACCCCUUCUUCCAAGUAUACUCUUUUGUCUCUUGUCUUUUAUUCCCACAUUCACCCCUCCUUUGUUCAGUCCACCAGGGAUUGUGGCAGGUUACAUAGGGGCCCCCCAAACAGCAACAGAAUCUGGUGCUCCACAACUCUGUCUCAAAAAAAAAAAAAUGCUAUCCAACUUGGUAACUACUAGCCACAUGUGGCUAUCAAGCACAUGAAAUAUUGCUGGUCUGAAUUAAGAUGUGCUGUAAAUGUAAAAUAUGUGCUGUAUUUUAAAGAGUAUAAAAAGAUAAAAUAUUUCAUUAAUAAUUUUAGCAUAUUUUGUAUAUAUUGAAAUAAAAUAUAGUAUUGAAAUUAAA